rnacentral:rRNA from 1 species
UCCGGAGGGUGCAAGCGUUAUCCGGAUUCACUGGGUUUACAGGGUGCGUAGGCGGGCAGGUAAGUCAGUGGUGAAAUCCCCGAGCUUAACUUGGGAACUGCCGUUGAUACUAUCUGUCUUGAAUACCGUGGAGGUGAGCGGAAUAUGUCAUGUAGCGGUGAAAUGCUUAGAUAUGACAUAGAACACCAAUUGCGAAGGCAGCUCGCUACACGAAUAUUGACUCUGAGGCACGAAAGCGUGGGGAUCAAACAGG